rnacentral:lncRNA from 1 species
CUCAUCAGAGACACACGGGAGGUGAGAUGUCCCAAUGUGGGUACUCUGCCCAUAGUGUCAGUAAAUGCUAUAUAUUAUUAUAUAUUUUUUUAAAUACAGUGAAGGACUUUAGAGAGAGAGGUCCUCUUAAGCUAAACAUCUCCUUAGGUCAGCUGAGAUGUAAAGCACAGUCCUUGUACCCUCCUGUCGUCAAGAUGGCUCAAAAUUCAUGUGAGGAAGUUGGGUCUGCUGUCCUUAAGAGCUCCAAGCAAAGCCACUUGGUAACAAGGAUACUGCAUCUCAGAGGGAGACAGAUGUGGCAGCUGACAGGGCUGGUGGUGUCACACACCGGGUUCCAGAAUAAAGGCAACUACAAGGCUGAACAGUUUGAAUGUCCAUGGCAGAAGAGAUGCAGUCCACAAUUUGGGUGCACACCUGUGUGUGGACAGCUCUGUCUUUUCAGUGACUGCAUUCGAGGAUGGCAAGAGACCACGUACCAUUACGUAACUGUUUGAGUGAAAAGAAUUUUCCUCAAAAGUACUUGGGACACUAAGCAGAUGGCAGCAACUUAAUCCAGUCCAAAGAAGGAGUAAGUGAAAUCACUCAGUCAGUUACAUUCAUUGGGAAAACUCUCUGAUUCUCUCAUAUCUAAUGGAAAAAGAAAAUAAAACAUUACUGAAACUGCCA